AUGAUCUUUUCGCUCUAUCUAUCUAUUCAACAAAUUUUUAUAAGUUGCAUUCAUCAAAAUGUAUGGUCUUGGACCAUAAAUAAUGAAUUUUCUUUUGAGUUCGGUUACUUUAUUGAUCCACUUACUUCUAUUAUGUCAAUAUUAAUUACAACUGUUGGAAUUUUAGUUCUUAUUUAUGGUGAUAAUUAUAUGUCUCAUGAUCAAGGAUAUUUGAGAUUUUUUGCUUAUAUGGGUUUUUUUAAUACUUCAAUGUUAGGAUUAGUUACUAGUUCUAAUUUGAUCCAAGUUUAUUUUUUUUGGGAAUUAGUUGGAAUGUGUUCGUAUUUAUUAAUAGGUUUUUGGUUCACACGACCUAUUGCAGCGAAUGCCUGUCAAAAAGCUUUUGUAACCAAUCGUGUAGGGGAUUUUGGUUUAUUAUUAGGAAUUUUAGGUCUUUAUUGGAUAACUGGCAGUUUCGAAUUUCAAGAUUUGUUCGAAAUAUUCAAUAGUUUAAUUUUAAAUAAUAGAAUAAAUCUCUUAUUCCUUACUUUGUGUGCAUUUCUAUUAUUUGUGGGUCCUAUUGCUAAAUCUGCACAAUUUCCUCUUCAUGUAUGGUUGCCGGAUGCCAUGGAGGGCCCUACUCCUAUUUCGGCUCUUAUACAUGCUGCUACUAUGGUAGCGGCGGGAAUUUUUCUUGUAGCUCGUCUUCUUCCUCUUUUUAUAGUUAUCCCUUCUAUAAUGUAUAUAAUAUCUUUGAUAGGUAUAAUAACAGUACUCUUAGGAGCCACUUUAGCUCUUGCUCAAAAAGAUAUUAAGAGAGGUUUAGCCUAUUCUACAAUGUCUCAACUGGGUUAUAUGAUGUUAGCUCUAGGUAUGGGGUCUUAUAGAUCCGCUUUAUUUCAUUUGAUUACUCAUGCUUAUUCGAAAGCUUUGUUGUUUUUAGGAUCUUGAUCCAUUAUUCAUUCAAUGGAAGCUAUAGUUGGAUAUUCUCCUGAUAAAAGUCAGAAUAUGAUUCUUAUGGGUGGUUUAACAAAACAUGUGCCGAUUACAAAAACUGCCUUUUUAGUAGGAACACUCUCACUUUGUGGUAUUCCCCCCCCUUGCUUGUUUUUGGUCUAAAGAUGAAAUUCUUAAUGAUAGUUUGUUAUUUUUCGCCAAUUUUUGCAAUAAUAGCUUGUUCAACAGCGGGAUUAACCGCAUUUUAUAUGUUUCGGAUUUAUUUACUUACUUUUGA